CCAGAUGUAGUCCCACCAGCCAGCUUGGGUUUAGGGGGCAGGCAGGGGGAGAUGGCCCCCUCCUCCCUCUACCCCUCGCCUACACGCCGAUACACAAGUUGCCGGUUGUAGGUUGUUUGCGGGUAUUCCACGGCUUCGUCCAUGUUCUAACGGGCCGUUAGAGAGCAAAAGCCUCCUACUCCACCCGCCCCACCAUCUUGGCCUACACGCUCGUAGGCAUCCACACGCCAGGCCACACCAAGUGCAACACCAGGCACCACCCGGGUUACCUGGUCACCUACGAUAUCCAACUCUCUCGUGUCCAGGCGUGGUGCACGACGACGUUUUAUAUACCAGAGAGCCAACAGUCGGCUAACGAAACCAAUCGAGAUCUGGUACUCGACGAGACGCUUCUUUCGCGAGAAUUGGAUGAGUCUUGCUCUUCUAGGUCGAAUAUCUAGGAGGAAUAGGAAUGAUUCGAUAGGAAGGACGAUAAUGGUAAUGAUUUUUGUGCAACGAAGGAAAGAAAGCGGCAGUUUGAAAUUGAUGUUUGGUUACAUGAUGCGUGUGAUGUUAUGAAUUCUUGGAGCAGAAGUUUGGAGCUUCUCCCUUUGCGAGAAAUGUUACAAUGUACAAUUAAAGUAUUAAUACCCUGGUAAUGUAAAUAAAAGAACACUAACUCUGCUCCAAAAUUUUAUGUUAAAUGUUUCUUUAUCGACAUUAACGCUAAUAACAUAUGUGUAUAUACCAAUUAGGUAAUUUUAAAUUGAUUUGUUCAUCGGAAAUAGUAACGACAAGAAAUUUUCGCACGAUGUAACCACAAAAUAAUAUUAAGAAGAAAGUUUCCAACGAGAACAUUAUUUGUAACGAUAAAUUGUACAUCUUCUAAAUUGUACAUUUCGUAUCACACUGAUAACAAUGCUCUAUUUCAUUAUUCUCAUUAAUAUAAUUUUGUGAAACGUUUUGCAAAGAUAUCAUACAUUUUCUUACCGCUUGUCUGUUAAGCUUUCUUUCAUUCAGUUACAUAAACAUCGAUCAGCUGAUCUCCAAGUUAUAACGCAAGCAUUUCUUAUUAUCGUAAUUCGAACGAACCACAAGCUAGGAACGUGCUCUGGAAAGCGAGCAGACAUCCCGUUAACAUAGUCGCAGGAAGUUUCGAUUGCAAAAGAUCGCGCAGAUUUAGCCCUGAAACGCGUGCAAUUUCUCACGAUCUCUUGUUCAAAGUAAAAGCACCAUGUUCUCACUUGGAGGAUCCUCUCGAAUCGAUUGAGGAGACAUUUCGCGAGAACGAUUGUCCUUCAUCACUUUCGAGCACUCGAGUGACUGUUAAGCAGAAAAUUUUUAUCAUUUGUUAGAUAGAUAGAUGGAGAACCAAAGAGAAAAUACCGAAGAGAUGGAAGAAAGUGGAAAAAGAAAACUGUAACGAAUCUGAGAAUAAUGAUGUGUCGAUUAAAAGUUACGUUUGUGGAAAA